rnacentral:tRNA from 1 species
AUAAAUAUAGUUUAGCAAAAUACUAGAUUGUGGUUCUAGAGACGGAAGUUAAAACCUUCUUAUUUAUC